CCGUCUCCAUGCGGUACAGGCAGCGUGAUCAGAGCGCUAACACAACAGCCUGUGUAAUUACAUGUUUCUAGGAAGUGUGUUAGCUCCACGGGGAGCUGAGUCCAUUUGGAGAGGAGGAGGAGGAGGAAGAGACUUUCUUUUUUUUUGGGGGGUAGGUAAGGUGAAAAGGGUCAGCGGGUAGCCCGGCUCUGGCUCGAAUAUGAUAAAGGUAAUUGUGGCUCUCAAGUGAACGCCGGGUGCUCCCCGGUCCUGGCUCCUCUCCCUCCUUGCUCAUGUCUGUGCUAUGCAGGCGUCUGCUGUCAAAACCAGGAGAAGCAGGGCUGUGCGAGAAGAGAGAAGAGGUUUGACCCUGUUGGAAGCGGUAUGUUGCCAUAUCUGACGUCGUUUCUGCGCUAGCAUCGCCCGGGCAGGGGUGGAAGAUGCAGAGUCAGGGGCACGGCAGUUUUUGUGCAGCCUAGGCAUUUAUUUAGGUGGAGGAAGGAGAGUGGCAAUAAUUAAAAGCAAUUAAUUGUAGUCCGCAUGCUGGGGCAGGGGGAGGAUGGCUCGGACCUAACCUGUCACGUAGGUGUUUGAUACAUGUCCUGUGUUGCUGCUACUCACCGUGGCAGCGUGCGCCUGAGCUUUAAAUAUCCUGCAGUUCCAGAUAUCUUGUUUCUCCAGCAGGCUCUCCAUUUCAUUUUCCUCCUCUCUCUAGUGUAAAAUUUGGCCUAGCUUUAAGCUCCUUUCCCUGGCUGAGAAGGUUAUUUCCUUCCCUCCUCUCCUCCCCACCCCCUCAUCCAUCCUCUCCUCCUCUUGCAAAUGUUCUCCGACCCUGAUUUGGGGUUUCUCUCCCUGCAGUUAGCUCUGGGCUCUGUGGAUGCUUUGCCGUGACGGAGGGCCGAGGGCUGACCGAGUCGUGGGGAGGAUUUGUAUGUAGGAAGAGAGGAGAUGGCUGUGCAGCGUGCUCCCGAAUCUGCUCUGAGCCUGCUGAUGUCUCUUUCUAUGAUCCAAGCUUUUGGAUAUGCUUGUUGCAUGAAGAUUCAUCUUCAGGUUUAGCUUAUGCUAACUCAGAAGGUGACCUGCAGAGGGGAAGGUUAUAAUCUCACAGCACGUGUAAUGCAGU
rnacentral:lncRNA from 1 species